rnacentral:rRNA from 1 species
GACGAACGCUGGCGGCGUGCUUAACACAUGCAAGUCGAGCGGUAAGGGCCCUUUCGGGGGUACACGAGCGGCGAACGGGUGAGUAACACGUGGGUGACCUGCCCUCAGCUCUGGGAUAAGCCUGGGAAACCGGGUCUAAUACUGGAUAUGACUCCAUGACGCAUGUUGUGGGGUGGAAAGCCUUGUGCGGCUGAGGAUGGGCCCGCGGCCUAUCAGCUUGUUGGUGGGGGUGANGGCCUACCAAGGCGACGACGGGUAGCCGGCCUGAGAGGGCGACCGGCCACACUGGGACUGAGACACGGCCCAGACUCCUACGGGAGGCAGGCAGUGGGGAAUCUUGCGCAAUGGGCGAAAGCCUGACGCAGCGACGCCGCGUGAGGGAUGACGGCCU